rnacentral:rRNA from 1 species
UCGGCGUGGAUUAGGCAUGCAAGUCGAACGAGAAGCCUCUUUUUCGAGUUUUCGGACAAGAAUGUGAGGUGGAAAGUGGCGAAAGGGUGAGUAACACGUGGGCAAUCUGCCCUCGAGUCGGGGAUAGCUUCUGGAAACGGGAGAUAAUACCGGAUGUGUUCGGGAGUCGCAUGACUCCCUAUAAUAAAGGUGGGGAUCCUUCGGGACCUGCCGCUUGAGGAUGAGCUCGCGCCCCAUCAGCUUGUUGGUAGGGUAAUGGCCUACCAAGGCUUACGGGUAGCCGACCUGAGAGGGUGACCGGCCACACUGGGACUGAGACACUGCCCAGACUCCUACGGGAGGCUGCAGUCGAGAAUCAUUCGCAAUGCCCGAAAGG